UCUCUACGCAUCGGACGAGGUCAAGCGAGCAGACCAGCUGCCCAUCUGGCUGCUGCAAAGUCGCGCCUCAGGUUUUACGCUGUAUUCCUGGUUCAACGAUUUUGAUCAUGGAUCAGCUUUACCGCAGGAUCAGUAGAAGCAUUGUUAAGAUAGCGAUUGGGCGUUCCUUUUAUCAUGGCUUUGUUUCUGAUAUCAUGCCACGGCUCACUGUAAUGGCAAGUGCGGCCUCAUUUCUAACGCCAUUGGAAAAUUACGAACUCCUCCUGCAUUUUCCAGAUAAAGUUCUUUUACCCUGCAGCAAGCGCUAUCCAAAUCACAGACGGUAUUGCUGUAAUACAAUGCCAUGGAGAGGAGGUUGAUGCAGAUCUGGUGGAGGCACUUCAAGUAUCUGAAGAACCAAUUUCAAUAUCUGAAGAAGUGUAUACAUAUAAUGCUUACGAGGAGGGCAUAGAAAGCACCAUAACCAAAGGUUAUGUAAUUUCAAUACACGAGAAUUCGUUCUUCCACAGCUGCUCUGCCGGUUCAACUUCGCAUCUGGGAGCAUUGGUCAUUAACAAAGGCGGUCAAUUGGUUGGCUUGUGUACUGGGUUUGAUCGCCACCUAAUUGCUAGAGAAAUGUCUGCACUAGCAUAAGCAGAUCCUGAUUACAAAUACCCAACAGAAGACUGUUAAGGAGAACCAUUUGUAGAUGGGCAAGCUGUUCCUUAGGACCCCGAAUACCACAAGGAGUGGGUGAGAAACACUCCUUUUGGCAACCGGUGUACUCAGAGCCGUCCCAACUUUGAAAGGAGAAGGUAUAACACGUGUACAGUCCUACCUGUGUGGGCCUGAUCCACCAAGUUAUCAGUAACCCAAGCUACGAAUGCAGCGGCAACUACAACAACACCGCCCCACCUGCUUACGAAGGCAGGAACGGGCCAGGGAGGCAUUACCAAUAGAGAUCACUGCUAGAAGAUUGCCGUAGGAAAGUUAGUACGGAUUUUUUUGCAUAUAUUCUCUAUCCAUACCAGUGUUCUGAGAAAUAUAAUUACUAAAGCUUAGGCAAUUGCUCUCUUUUUUCUCUCUUUGUUGAA